rnacentral:rRNA from 1 species
UGGGGAAUAUUGCACAAUGGAGGGAACUCUGAUGCAGCGACGCCGCGUGAACGAAGAAGGCUUUCGAGUCGUAAAGUUCUUUUAUAUGGGAAGAUAAUGACGGUACCAUAAGAAGAAGCCCCGGCUAACUACGUGCCAGCAGCCGCGGUAAUACGUAGGGGGCUAGCGUUGUCCGGAAUCACUGGGCGUAAAGGGUUCGCAGGCGGAAAUUCAAGUCAGGUGUAAAAGGCAGUAGCUUAACUACUGUAAGCAUUUGAAACUGCAUAUCUUGAGAAGAGUAGAGGUAAGUGGAAUUUUUAGUGUAGCGGUGAAAUGCGUAGAUAUUAAAAAGAAUACCGGUGGCGAAGGCGACUUACUGGGCUCAUUCUGACGCUGAGGAACGAAAGCGUGGGUAGCAAACAGG